ensembl:lincRNA Gm13219 predicted gene 13219
AGAGCCCAUGCAUAAACCAUUUGGUUUUGCAAUUAAAAACAGGUUUGGCUUCCCUCUGCAUCAGUAAGACAACGUCAAAGCAACAUUCGUCCUGAAAAUUUUCCCUUGUGAAUUCAAAUGAACUAACUACUUGAUGAAAAUGCUAUUGCUGAAAACACCAUGCACAUUGGAGACAGGACACAGAGACAUCAAGCUGGAGCUGAACUGGAAGGUAUCCAUACUGACUAGCUUUCAAAAGGGGAAACUAGAACAACGGAUCAACUUUGGUCUCUCAAAGUCUCUUCCAAAGGAUCUGCAGAGAUCCCUUUCUGCUGUACCAACACCAUGGUGUUUCCUGGCUCUCCCUCCUCAUCAUGGCCGUUCAUUACCGCCUAGCCUCUAAGGUUCUGCACUUUCAUACACCCUGCCCUUUGGCUUGGCCCUUCAAUCAACAAGUCCUGCAUACCUGAUUGAUCUAGACCUGAAUAUCAUAUCAUAAAAGAUCUCCUGGGCAUUUACUGCUUUCCUUGGAACUUCUAAUUCCAUUCCAAGAUGUUUGUGUCCUUUGGGGUGUUGAUGUUUGCUUUUUCUUUGACACAGUGUCUCUCUAAGCAGCCCAGGUGAGCCUUGCGCUUGUAAUCAUUCUGAUGUUUUCCCUCACAUGCUUGGAUUACAGGCAUGUCCGACUCUAUGAAGCUUGUCUAUG